rnacentral:rRNA from 1 species
GUGCCUACGGGGGGCAGCAGUAGGGAAUCUUCCACAAUGGACGAAAGUCUGAUGGAGCAACGCCGCGUGAGUGAAGAAGGUGCCAAGCAUUGUAAACUUCUUUUGUCAAGGGACAAAAUCAGGCUCGAGAGCCUGACCGAGGGUACUUGAAGAAAAAGCAUCGGCUAACUCCGUGCCAGCAGCCGCGGUAAUACGGAGGAUGCGAGCGUUAUCCGGAUUUAUUGGGUUUAAAGGGUGCGUAGGCGGACUGUUAAGUCAGCGGUAAAAGCCCGGGGCUCAACCCCGGCGAGCCGUUGAAACUGGCU